CCUACGGGUGGCAGCAGUAGGGAAUCUUCCACAAUGGACGAAAGUCUGAUGGAGCAACGCCGCGUGUGUGAUGAAGGGUUUCGGCUCGUAAAACACUGUUGUAAGAGAAGAAUGACAUUGAGAGUAACUGUUCAGUGUGUGACGGUAUCUUACCAGAAAGGAACGGCUAAAUACGUGCCAGCAGCCGCGGUAAUACGUAUGUUCCAAGCGUUAUCCGGAUGUAUUGGGCGUAACGCGAGCGCAGACGGUUAGUUAGGGCCGAAGCGAAAGCCGAGGGGGGAACGGUGGAGGGGGUUUGGAAACUGGAUGACUGGGGUGGAGUAGAGGGGAGGGGAACUGCAGGGGUAGCGGUGAAAUGCGUAGAUAUAGGGAAGAACACCGGGGGCGAAGGCGGCUCUCGGGACUGUAACUGACGUGGAGGCUCGAAAGUGUGGGUAGCAAACAGGAUUAGAUACCCGAGUAGUC
rnacentral:rRNA from 1 species